rnacentral:lncRNA from 1 species
UCAGAAAGGGAAGGAGGCGCAGAUUAUGCUUCCUAAAUAAGUUUAGAUGCUGAUCUUACUUCCUAAUUAGUGUAGAGGCUGCCCAAGGUGCUGCCCAUGUGCAACUUGCUGCCCAAGUUGUUGCAGAAAAGGAAGGUGGCGCGCCGAUGGCUCUCAGGAGAGGAAAGCGCGCAGAUUGUUUCUGAAUAGGAAGGAUGCACGAAUUUUGAUCUUCAAAGGGGAAGAUAUGCUUAUCCAUACAUUCCUUUUUAGGUGGAGCCUCUUUUGAAAUUUGAAUAUUGAAUGCAGAAGAGGAAGAGCAUCUCUUUGAGAUCUUACUGCCUAAAUAGGAAGAUAUGACUGCUGCAGUGUGUGCACAUCUUUGAAC